rnacentral:rRNA from 1 species
AUUGAACGCUGGCGGCAGGCUUAACACAUGCAAGUCGAGCGGAGUGAUGGUGCUUGCACUAUCACUUAGCGGCGGACGGGUGAGUAAUGCUUAGGAAUCUGCCUAUUAGUGGGGGACAACAUCUCGAAAGGGAUGCUAAUACCGCAUACGUCCUACGGGAGAAAGCAGGGGAUCACUUGUGACCUUGCGCUAAUAGAUGAGCCUAAGUCGGAUUAGCUAGUUGGUGGGGUAAAGGCCUACCAAGGCGACGAUCUGUAGCGGGUCUGAGAGGAUGAUCCGCCACACUGGGACUGAGACACGGCCCGGACUCCUACGGGAGGCAGCAGUGGGGAAUAUUGGACAAUGGGGGGAACCCUGAUCCAGCCAUGCCGCGUGUGUGAAGAAGGCCUUAUGGCUGUAAAGCACUUUAAGCGAGGAGGAGGCUCUUUUGGUUAAUACCCAAGAUGAGUGGACGUUACUCGCAGAAUAAGCACCGGCUAACUCUGUGCCAGCCGCCGCCGUAA